GAUGAAGAACGCAGCGAAAUGCGAUAAGUAAUGUGAAUUGCAGAAUUCAGUGAAUCAUCGAAUCUUUGAACGCACAUUGCGCCCGCCAGCAUUCUGGCGGGCAUGCCUGUUCGAGCGUCAUUUCAACCCUCGAGCCCCCCCGGGGGCCUCGGUGUUGGGGGACGGCACACCAGCCGCCCCCGAAAUGCAGUGGCGACCUCGCCGCAGCCUCCCCUGCGUAGUAGCACACACCUCGCACCGGAGCGCGGAGACGGUCACGCCGUAAAACGCCCAACUUCUUAGAGUUGACCUCGAAUCAGGUAGGAAUACCCGCUGAACUUAAGCAUAUCAAUAAGCGGAGGA
rnacentral:misc_RNA from 1 species